rnacentral:rRNA from 1 species
CCCGCUGAACUUAAGCAUAUCAAUAAGCGGAGGAAAAGAAACUAACAAGGAUUCCCCUAGUAACUGCGAGUGAAGCGGGAAAAGCUCAAAUUUGAAAUCUGGCAGUCUUUUUUUCUUCUUUGGCUGUCCGAGUUGUAAUCUAGAGAAGUGCUUACCUUCACUGGACCAUGUAUAAGUCUCCUGGAAUGGAGCGUCGCAGAGGGUGAGAAUCCCGUCUUUGACAUGGACUGCCAGUGUGUUGUGGUGUGCUCUCAAAGAGUCGAGUUGUUUGGGAAUGCAGCUCUAAAUGGGUGGUAAACUCCAUCUAAAGCUAAAUAUUGGCGAGAGACCGAUAGUGAACAAGUACCGUGAGGGAAAGAUGAAAAGGACUUUGGAAAGAGAGUUAAACAGUAUGUGAAAUUGUUGAAAGGGAAACGCUUGAAGUCAGUUAUGUUGGCUAGGGAUCAACCUAGCUAUUUUUGCUGGGUGAUUUUUCUAGUCUGACAGGCCAGCAUCAGUCUUGACUGCUGGAAAAGAGCAGAGGGAAUGUGGCACCUUUGGGUGUGUUAUAGCCCUAUGUCAUAUGUGGCAGUCGGGACUGAGGGAUGCAGCGUGCCGCGAGGCUGGGUUUUGACCACGUUCACGCUUAGGAUGUUGGCUUUUAAUGGCUUCAAUCGACCCGUCUUGAAACACGG